CCUACGAUAGCAUAACUGGAAAUGCCACGGUUCCCCGACCGGGGAUAGUUGGGUUCAAUUCCCAACCGUAGGA
rnacentral:tRNA from 2 species